UCCCUGGUGGUCCAGUGGUUAGGACUCCACACUUCCACUGGCGAGGGCCCAGGUUCAACCCCUGGUCAGGGAA